CAGGUCUUGACAUCCCACUGACCGGCUUAGAGAUAGGCUUUUCCCCUCGGGGACAGUGGUGACAGGUGGUGCAUGGUUGUCGUCAGCUCGUGUCGUGAGGUGUUGGGUUAAGUCCCGCAACGAGCGCAACCCUUGAUCUUAGUUGCCAGCAUUCAGUUGGGCACUCUAAGGUGACUGCCGGUGAUAAACCGGAGGAAGGUGGGGAUGACGUCAAAUCAUCAUGCCCCUUAUGACCUGGGCUACACACGUGCUACAAUGGACGAUACAAAGGGCUGCAAACCCGCGAGGGGGAGCCAAUCCCAUAAAAUCGUUCUCAGUUCGGAUUGUAGGCUGCAACUCGCCUACAUGAAGCCGGAAUCGCUAGUAAUCGUGGAUCAGCAUGCCACGGUGAAUACGUUCCC
rnacentral:rRNA from 1 species